GCUGGGUGUGGUGGCUCACACCUGUAAUCCCAGCACUUUGGGAGGCUGAGAUGGGAGGAUCACCUGAGGUCAGGAGUUUGAGACCAGCCUGGCCAACAUGGUGAAACCCUGUCUCUA
ensembl:misc_RNA Metazoa_SRP Metazoan signal recognition particle RNA